UAGCGUUCUACACUGUAUAUAGUUGUUUAUUGUAGCUGGCUUUUUAAUUCUUGAAAAGACCAUCACAUGAAAGAUUUUUAAAUGUGGUUGUACGUCAUAUGUACGUUCAUAUGUGUAGGUAGGUGAAGAACGUUGAUCUCCCUUCAUUUUUUCGUUCCCGUUCGAUCGACUGAAGGUGUUACAGAUUGUUACGAUCAUUGAUUUCCCGAAUGUUAUAUUACUCUCUUAUUAUAUUAUAUUACUCUCUUAUAGUGUUUGAAAACCCUUAUUCAAGGGUUUUUUUUUGGAGUUUAUCUUCCCUGGUAGGAGCUAAGCCAAUUUUUCCAAGUUCGGGACUGCUUCAAAACGUUUGACGUUCCUGACUUCACGGAGCUGACGAUACGACUUCGUCCAAUUUGCAGAUCCUGCAGCCUGCAAAAGAACUUCGUACAAUUUGCAGAUCCUGUAGCCUGCAACAGAACUUCGUCCUGAUUGGCAGUACAUCAGUCUUCCCGUUACUCCAUUUCAACAGGGAAGUAAAUAUUAUGAAAAUCUAGUAUUUUCAUCUAUAUGUGUGUACAUAUGAUCUGAGACUUUUUUUAACUAUAAUUUGUAAUUCUAGUAUUUAGUAUUUAGCUGUAAAUAUUUUUCUUGAAUUCAUUCUGGUACCAGGCUAUUGAUUGUAUAUUUUUAUUUGUGAAGAUAACACUUUUGUAAAUAGACGAGUGAUUUGUUCGACUGGGA